rnacentral:rRNA from 1 species
GACGAACGCUGGCGGCGUGCUUAACACAUGCAAGUCGAACGGAGCGGCGGCCGGGUGAGUAAUACCUAGGAAUCUGCCUGGUCGUGGGGGAUAACGUUCGGAAACGGACGCUAAUACCGCAUCCUAGCAGAUGAGCCUAGGUCGGAUUAGCUUGUUGGUGAGGUAAUGGCUCACCAAGGCCACGAUCCGUAACUGGUCUGAGAGGAUGAUCAUUCACACUGGAACUGAGACACGGUCCAGACUCCUACGGGAGGCAGCAGUGGGGAAUAUUGGACAAUGGGCGAAAGCCUGAUCCAGCCAUGCCGCGGGUGUGAAGAAGGUCUUCGGAUUGUAAAGCACUUUAAGUUGGGAGGCGUUACCGACAGAAUAAGCACCGGCUAACUCUGUGCCAGCAGCCGCGGUAAUUC